rnacentral:tRNA from 1 species
GCCUGGAUAACUCAGUCCAUAGAAUGUUAGACUUUCAAUCUGAGGGCCCAGGGUUCAAGUCCUGGUUUGGCA